rnacentral:rRNA from 1 species
UGCCACAGCCAUGUCACCCUGCAGCCCAAGACUGGUUGCCCACUGAAGCUAAGCAGGGUUGAGCCUGGUCAGUACCUGGAUGGGAGACCUCCUGGGAAAACUAGGUUGCUGUUGGAA